UACUGAGGAAAAGAAACCAACAGGGAUUGCCUUAGUAGCGGCGAGUGAAGCGGCAAAAGCUCAAAUUUGAAAUCUGGCGCCUUCGGUGUCCGAGUUGUAAUUUGAAGAUUGUAACCUUGGGGUUGGCUCUUGUCUAUGUUUCUUGGAACAGGACGUCACAGAGGGUGAGAAUCCCGUGCGAUGAGAUGCCCAAUUCUAUGUAAGGUGCUUUCGAAGAGUCGAGUUGUUUGGGAAUGCAGCUCUAAGUGGGUGGUAAAUUCCAUCUAAAGCUAAAUAUUGGCGAGAGACCGAUAGCGAACAAGUACAGUGAUGGAAAGAUGAAAAGAACUUUGAAAAGAGAGUGAAAAAGUACGUGAAAUUGUUGAAAGGGAAGGGUUUGAGAUCAGACUCGAUAUUUUGUGAGCCUUGCCUUCGUGGCGGGGUGACCCGCAGCUUAUCGGGCCAGCAUCGGUUUGGGCGGUAGGAUAAUGGCGUAGGAAUGUGACUUUACUUCGGUGAAGUGUUAUAGCCUGCGUUGAUGCUGCCUGCCUAGACCGAGGACUGCGAUUUUAUCAAGGAUGCUGGCAUAAUGAUCCCAAACCGCCCGUCUU
rnacentral:rRNA from 1 species